GAUGAACGCUGGCGGCGUGCCUAAUACAUGAAAGUCGAGCGAACGGACGAGAAGCUUGCUUCUCUGAUGUUAGCGGCGGACGGGUGAGUAACACGUGGAUAACCUACCUAUAAGACUGGGAUAACUUCGGGAAACCGGAGCUAAUACCGGAUAAUAUUUUGAACCGCAUGGUUCAAAAGUGAAAGACGGUCUUGCUGUCACUUAUAGAUGGAUCCGCGCUGCAUUAGCUAGUUGGUAAGGUAACGGCUUACCAAGGCAACGAUGCAUAGCCGACCUGAGAGGGUGAUCGGCCACACUGGAACUGAGACACGGUCCAGACUCCUACGGGAGGCAGCAGUAGGGAAUCUUCCGCAAUGGGCGAAAGCCUGACGGAGCAACGCCGCGUGAGUGAUGAAGGUCUUCGGAUCGUAAAACUCUGUUAUUAGGGAAGAACAUAUGUGUAAGUAACUGGGCACAUCUUGACGGUACCUAAUCAGAAAGCCACGGCUAACUACG
rnacentral:rRNA from 1 species